rnacentral:rRNA from 1 species
UCCUGACUGACCGAUAGUGAACCAGUACCGUGAGGGAAAGGCGAAAAGAACCCCGGCGAGGGGAGUGAAAAAGAACCUGAAACCGUGUACGUACAAGCAGUGGGAGCACGCUUAGGCGUGUGACUGCGUACCUUUUGUAUAAUGGGUCAGCGACUUAUAUUCUGUAGCAAGGUUAACCGAAUAGGGGAGCCGAAGGGAAACCGAGUCUUAACUGGGCGUUAAGUUGCAGGGUAUAGACCCGAAACCCGGUGAUCUAGCCAUGGGCAGGUUGAAGGUUGGGUAACACUAACUGGAGGACCGAACCGACUAAUGUUGAAAAAUUAGCGGAUGACUUGUGGCUGGGGGUGAAAGGCCAAUCAAACCGGGAGAUAGCUGGUUCUCCCCGAAAGCUAUUUAGGUAGCGCCUCGUGAAUUCAUCUCCGGGGGUAGAGCACUGUUUCGGCAAGGGGGUCAUCCCGACUUACCAACCCGAUGCAAACUGCGAAUACCGGAGAAUGUUAUCACGGGAGACACACGGCGGGUGCUAACGUCCGUCGUGAAGAGGGAAACAACCCAGACCGCCAGCUAAGGUCCCAAAGUCAUGGUUAAGUGGGAAACGAUGUGGGAAGGCCCAGACAGCCAGGAUGUUGGCUUAGAAGCAGCCAUCAUUUAAAGAAAGCGUAAUAGCUCACUGGUCGAGUCGGCCUGCGCGGAAGAUGUAACGGGGCUAAACCAUGCACCGAAGCUGCGGCAGCGACGCUUAUGCGUUGUUGGGUAGGGGAGCGUUCUGUAAGCCUGCGAAGGUGUGCUGUGAGGCAUGCUGGAGGUAUCAGAAGUGCGAAUGCUGACAUAAGUAACGAUAAAGCGGGUGAAAAGCCCGCUCGCCGGAAGACCAAGGGUUCCUGUCCAACGUUAAUCGGGGCAGGGUGAGUCGACCCCUAAGGCGAGGCCGAAAGGCGUAGUCGAUGGGAAACAGGUUAAUAUUCCUGUACUUGGUGUUACUGCGAAGGGGGGACGGAGAAGGCUAUGUUGGCCGGGCGACGGUUGUCCCGGUUUAAGCGUGUAGGCUGGUUUUCCAGGCAAAUCCGGAAAAUCAAGGCUGAGGCGUGAUGACGAGGCACUACGGUGCUGAAGCAACAAAUGCCCUGCUUCCAGGAAAAGCCUCUAAGCAUCAGGUAACAUCAAAUCGUACCCCAAACCGACACAGGUGGUCAGGUAGAGAAUACCAAGGCGCUUGAGAGAACUCGGGUGAAGGAACUAGGCAAAAUGGUGCCGUAACUUCGGGAGAAGGCACGCUGAUAUGUAGGUGAAGUCCCUUGCGGAUGGAGCUGAAAUCAGUCGAAGAUACCAGCUGGCUGCAACUGUUUAUUAAAAACACAGCACUGUGCAAACACGAAAGUGGACGUAUACGGUGUGACGCCUGCCCGGUGCCGGAAGGUUAAUUGAUGGGGUCAGCGCAAGCGAAGCUCUUGAUCGAAGCCCCGGUAAACGGCGGCCGUAACUAUAACGGUCCUAAGGUAGCGAAAUUCCUUGUCGGGUAAGUUCCGACCUGCACGAAUGGCGUAAUGAUGGCCAGGCUGUCUCCACCCGAGACUCAGUGAAAUUGAACUCGCUGUGAAGAUGCAGUGUACCCGCGGCAAGACGGAAAGACCCCGUGAACCUUUACUAUAGCUUGACACUGAACAUUGAGCCUUGAUGUGUAGGAUAGGUGGGAGGCUUUGAAGUGUGGACGCCAGUCUGCAUGGAGCCGGCCUUGAAAUACCACCCUUUAAUGUUUGAUGUUCUAAC